UACGUAGGGUGCAAGCGUUAAUCGGAAUUACUGGGCGUAAAGCGUGCGUAGACGGUUACAUAAGUCGGGUGUGAAAGCCCCGGGCUCAACCUGGGAAUUGCAUUCGAGACUGCGUAGCUAGGGUGCGGAAGAGGGAAGCGGAAUUUCCGGUGUAGCGGUGAAAUUCGUAGAUAUUGGGAAGAACACCGAUGGCGAAGGCAGCCAUCUGGACCGACACUGACGCUGAGGCGCGAAAGCGUGGGGAGCAAACAGG
rnacentral:rRNA from 1 species